AUUGAACGCUGGCGGCAGGCUUAACACAUGCAAGUCGAGCGGGGUGAUGGUGCUUGCACUAUCACUUAGCGGCGGACGGGUGAGUAAUGCUUAGGAAUCUGCCUAUUAGUGGGGGACAACAUCUCGAAAGGGAUGCUAAUACCGCAUACGUCCUACGGGAGAAAGCAGGGGAUCACUUGUGACCUUGCGCUAAUAGAUGAGCCUAAGUCGGAUUAGCUAGUUGGUGGGGUAAAGGCCUACCAAGGCGACGAUCUGUAGCGGGUCUGAGAGGAUGAUCCGCCACACGGGGACUGGGACACGGCCCAGACUCCUACGGGAGGCAGCAGUGGGGAAUAUUGGACAAUGGGGGGAACCCUGAUCCAGCCAUGCCGCGUGUGUGAAGAAGGCCUUAUGGUUGUAAAGCACUCUAAGCGAGGAGGAGGCUCUUUUGGUUAAUACCCAAGAUGAGUGGACGUUACUCGCAGAAUAAGCACCGGCUAACUCUGUGCCAGCCGCCGCCGUAA
rnacentral:rRNA from 1 species